UCGACCUUAGCUCAGUUGGUAGAGCGGAAGAUUGUAGUUUGAUUAAUCUAAAUUGGAAAUCCUUAGGUCGCUGGUUCAAAUCCGGCAGGUUGGA
rnacentral:tRNA from 1 species